AAGACGGUCUUGCUGUCACUUAUAGAUGGAUCCGCGCUGCAUUAGCUAGUUGGUAAGGUAACGGCUUACCAAGGCAACGAUGCAUAGCCGACCUGAGAGGGUGAUCGGCCACACUGGAACUGAGACACGGUCCAGACUCCUACGGGAGGCAGCAGUAGGGAAUCUUCCGCAAUGGGCGAAAGCCUGACGGAGCAACGCCGCGUGAGUGAUGAAGGUCUUCGGAUCGUAAAACUCUGUUAUUAGGGAAGAACAUAUGUGUAAGUAACUGUGCACAUCUUGACGGUACCUAAUCAGAAAGCCACGGCUAACUACGUGCCAGC
rnacentral:rRNA from 1 species